UGCAGGUGACUCUGAAGUCAUCCUCCUGGAAGCACUCACAGGGCGGAGAGGGACACCCCUUGCCCUCCAGGCUCCUGGGCAGGGCGAGCACCAGCGCCAGCUGCAGCAGGGGCGCGGACCUCAUUGUCUGCAGGAGACCACGGACACCCACUGUGGGCUGCGCGCUCUCUGCAGGGACGUGCGGGAUGGACAGACCUCCGGGAUGGACAAUUCCCGGGAUGGACAGUCCCGAUGGAUGGACAACCCCCGAGGGAUGGACAGACUCCGGGAUGGACAGUUUUCGCGGGUGCGCCCUGCAGAGUCGGAGGCGGGCGCAGCCCCCCUGCCCGCACCAGGUGCCGCCCAGGUCAGACGUGACACCUUGGUGGGUUCUCCUGCGCCCCAACUUGCCCGCAAACCCCAGCGCUUGGUGGGAGGAGCAGCCUGCCGGCCGCUGGGCCCGGCGGGGACGGGACCCGGGCUCUGGGGCCACCUGCAGGUGGAAUCUCGAACCGCAGGCCCAGAGGAUAGGCACCGGCUCCAGAGGCGGGGGUUGGGGGGAGGGUCUGAAGCUGCAAAUAAGGGCGAUCCCACAGGCCCGACACCCCCCCCCCCCGAAGAUGGGUAGUUAAAGAAUACUUAAAAGACGCACCCUAGA